rnacentral:SRP_RNA from 10 species
GGCGUGGUGGCGGGCGCCUGUGAUCCCAGCUACUCGGGAGGCUGAGGCAGGAGAAUCGCGUGAACCCGGGAGGCAGAGCUUGCAGUGAGC